AACGAACGCUGGCGGCAGGUUUAACACAUGCAAGUCGAACGCGUGUAGCAAUACACGAGUGGCGCACGGGUGAGUAACGCGUGGAUAUCUGCCUUUUGGUUCGGAAUAACCCCGGGAAACUGGGGCUAAUACCGGAUGGUUCCUUCGGGAUAAAGAUUUAUCGCCAAAAGAUGAGUCCGCGUACGAUUAGCUAGUUGGUGAGGUAAUGGCUCACCAAGGCGACGAUCGUUAGCUGGUCUGAGAGGACGAUCAGCCACACUGGGACUGAGACACGGCCCAGACUCCUACGGGAGGCAGCAGUGGGGAAUAUUGGACAAUGGGGGCAACCCUGAUCCAGCCAUGCCGCGUGAGUGAUGAAGGCCUUCGGUUGU
rnacentral:rRNA from 1 species